rnacentral:rRNA from 1 species
UACGAAGGGGGCUAGCGUUGCUCGGAAUCACUGGGCGUAAAGCGCACGUAGGCGGACUCUUAAGUCGGUGGUGAAAUCCUGGAGCUCAACUCCAGAACUGCCUCCGAUACUGCGAGUCUCCGAGUCCGGGAGAGGUGAGUGGAACUGCGAGUGUAGAGGUGAAAUUCGUAGAUAUUCGCAAGAACACCAGUGGCGAAGGCGACUCACUGGCCCGAUACUGACGCUGAGGCACGAAAGCGUGGGGAGCAGACAGG